rnacentral:lncRNA from 1 species
AGACAGGCAGCCAGAGUGCUAGUGGACAAAAGGCUUCUGAGCCAAGCAGAGCCAGGCUGAAUCUGCUGUGUGACCUUAGACAAAUCUCUCCACCUCUCUGAGCCUCUUAAUUUUCUACUGGAAAAAUGAGGUGGUAAUGCUUAGGUCAGAAGGUUGUUGGGAGGGUUUGUUAGGGGGCCUGAACUGGCAUGGCGGUGUGCCAGGGACAUAAAUACAAUAAUGACUGGUGGAUCGGGCGGCUGGUGAAGGAGGGCUGUGAGGUUGGCUUCAUUCCCAGCCCCGUCAAACUGGACAGCCUUCGCCUGCUGCAGGAACAGAAGCUGCGCCAGAACCGCCUCGGCUCCAGCAAAUCAGGCGAUAACUCCAGUUCCAGUCUGGGAGAUGUGGUGACUGGCACCCGCCGCCCCACACCCCCUGCCAGUGACAGAGCAUGUGCCCCCCUAUGACGUGGUGCCUUCCAUGAGGCCCAUCAUCCUGGUGGGACCGUCGCUCAAGGGCUACGAGGUUACAGACAUGAUGCAGAAAGCUUUAUUUGACUUCUUGAAGCAUCGGUUUGAUGGCAG